rnacentral:tRNA from 1 species
GAGGGCAUAGCUCAGGGGUGGAGCGCAUGCUUAGUGUGUAUGAGGCCCUGGGUUCAAUCUCCAGCACCUGCA